UGGCUCAGGACGAACGCUGGCGGCGUGCUUAACACAUGCAAGUCGAACGGUAAGGCCCUUCGGGGUACACGAGUGGCGAACGGGGUGAGUAACACGUGGGUGAUCUGCCCUGCACUUUGGGAUAAGCCUGGGAAACUGGGUCUAAUACCGAAUAUGACCAUGGACUUCACGGUUUGUGGUGGAAAGCUUUUGCGGUGUGGGAUGGGCCCCGCGGCCUAUCAGCUUGUUGGUGGGGUAAUGGCCUACCAAGGCGACGACGGGUAGCCGGCCUGAGAGGGUGACCGGCCACACUGGGACUGAGAUACGGCCCAGACUCCUACGGGAGGCAGCAGUGGGGAAUAUUGCACAAUGGGCGCAAGCCUGAUGCAGCGACGCCGCGUGGGGAUGACGGCCUUCGGGUUGUAAACCUCUUUCACCAGGGACGAAGCGAGAGUGACGGUACCUGGAGAAGAAGGACCGGCCAACUACGUG
rnacentral:rRNA from 1 species